CGUCAAUGGAAGUUGGGUUAGUGAACUGCUUUAAACAGAAGUCCUUUUGUAUGUGCUUUGUGGUUAAUUUAUCUUUCUGUCUUUUCCUCUUUAUUUUAGUCGCAUAUAUGAGCAGAGUGGUCAGCAAAUUUUGUUACUUGAGCAUUUCUUGUUCUGGCGUAUGCUUUAGUUGCUAUGGUUGCAGCUGUAUUCUAAUUUUAUUUUAUUUUAUUGAUUAACCAGUGUUGAUUUUUUGCUGAACAGUCAAUUUUCGGCCUAGAUUUAUGUUGAUGUUCACAUAAAGACAUUAAACUAACCAAGAUUUGUAUUAUGAUAUCCCCUUGCCUCCUUUUUU
rnacentral:misc_RNA from 1 species